GGCGAGUGANCGGCAACAGCUCAAAUUUGAAAGCUAGCCUUCGGGUUCGCAUUGUAAUUUGUAGAGGAUGAUUUGGGGAAGCCGCCUGUCUAAGUUCCUUGGAACAGGACGUCAUAGAGGGUGAGAAUCCCGUAUGUGACAGGAAAUGGCACCCUAUGUAAAUCUCCUUCGACGAGUCGAGUUGUUUGGGAAUGCAGCUCUAAAUGGGAGGUAAAUUUCUUCUAAAGCUAAAUAUUGGCGAGAGACCGAUAGCGCACAAGUAGAGUGAUCGAAAGAUGAAAAGCACUUUGGAAAGAGAGUUAAAAAGCACGUGAAAUUGUUGAAAGGGAAGCGCUUGCAAUCAGACUUGUUUAAACUGUUCGGCCGGUCUUCUGACCGGUUUACUCAGUUUGGACAGGCCAGCAUCAGUUUCGGCGGCCGGAUAAAGGCUCUGGGAAUGUGGCCUCCACUUCGGUGGAGGUGUUAUAGCCCAGGGUGUAAUACGGCCAGCCGGGACUGAGGUCCGCGCUUCGGCUAGGAUGCUGGCGUAAUGGUUGUAAGCGACCCGUCUUGAAACCACG
rnacentral:rRNA from 1 species